UACAGAGGUCUCAAGCGUUGUUCGGAUUCAUUGGGCGUAAAGGGUGCGUAGGCGGCGCGGUAAGUCGGGUGUGAAAUCUCGGAGCUUAACUCCGAAACUGCAUUCGAUACUGCCGUGCUUGAGGACUGGAGAGGAGACUGGAAUUUACGGUGUAGCGGUGAAAUGCGUAGAUAUCGUAAGGAAGACCAGUGGCGAAGGCGGAUCUCUGGGCCUUACCUGACGCUCAGGCGCGAAAGCUAGGGGAGCAAACAGG
rnacentral:rRNA from 1 species